rnacentral:rRNA from 1 species
GGAUGAACGCUGGCGGCGUGCCUAAUACAUGCAAGUCGAGCGAACAGACGAGAGUGCUUGCACUCUCUGACGUUAGCGGCGGACGGGUGAGUAACACGUGGGUAACCUACCUAUAAGACUGGGAUAACCUCGGGAAACCGUAGCUAAUACCGGAUAAUAUUUAGCUUCGCAUGAAGCAAUAGUGAAAGACGGUUCUGCUGUCACUUAUAGAUGGACCCGCGGUGUAUUAGCUAGUUGGUGAGGUAACGGCUCACCAAGGCAACGAUACAUAGCCGACCUGAGAGGGUGAUCGGCCACACUGGGACUGAGACACGGCCCAGACUCCUACGGGAGGCAGCAGUAGGGAAUCUUCCGCAAUGGACGGAAGUCUGACGGAGCAAUGCCGCGUGAGUGAAGAAGGUUUUCGGAUCGUAAAACUCUGUUGUAAGGGAAGAACAAGUACGUUAGUAACUGAACGUACCUUGACGGUACCUUACCAGAAAGCCACGGCUAACUACGUG